rnacentral:rRNA from 1 species
GAAACUAACCUCGAGAUGAGAUUUCCCAUUCGUCAGAAGUAAGACCCCUGAGAGACGAUCAGGUAGAUAGGCUAGAAGUGGAAGUGUAGUGAUGCAUGGAGCGGACUAGUACUAAUAGGUCGAGGACUUAACCAAG